rnacentral:rRNA from 1 species
UACGGGAGGCAGCAGUGGGGAAUAUUGCACAAUGGGCGCAAGCCUGAUGCAGCCAUGCCGCGUGUAUGAAGAAGGCCUUCGGGUUGUAAAGUACUUUCAGUCGUGAGGAAGGUGUUAAGGUUAAUAACCUUAGCAAUUGACGUUAGCGACAGAAGAAGCACCGGCUAACUCCGUGCCAGCAGCCGCGGUAAUACGGAGGGUGCGAGCGUUAAUCGGAAUUACUGGGCGUAAAGGGCACGCAGGCGGUUAAUUAAGUUGGAUGUGAAAUCCCCGGGCUUAACCUGGGAAUGGCAUUCAAGACUGGUUAGCUAGAGUCUUGUAGAGGGGGAUAGAAUUCCAUGUGUAGCGGUGAAAUGCGUAGAGAUGUGGAGGAAUACCGGUGGCGAAGGCGGCCCCUGGGACAAAGACUGACGCUCAUGUGCGAAAGCGUGGGGAGCAAACAGGAUUAGAUACC